UGAAGAUGAACCUAGCAGUAGUAUUUACACCACUUAUUGUGUGCCCACUGUGGGCCCAGCGCCAUGCCGAGUGCUCUAUGGAUGUGAGAGAGAGAAACGGAGGCCCAGAAAGCAGAAAUGAUGUGUUAAGAUCACUCAUCAAGCUGAUGGUACAAAGAUGAGGACAUUGGAGCAGUUUUUUUAAAAAAUAGCUGCCUGGCACGGUGGCUCACAUCUGUAGUCCCAGCACUUUGGGAGGCCGAGGCAGGCGGAUCACUUGACGCCAGGAAUUCAAGACCAGCAUGGGCAACAUGUUUUCCAUCCUUCCUUCAGUGCUGGGAGAGAAAAGCAUACAACAUAGACAGGGAGGUCAAGCUCCACCACGCAAAUGAGCUGCAGGCCACCGGGCUUCCUCUGCCACAUCUCCUUCUGAAAAGGCAGCCUGUGCUGAGAAACCAUGACUGAGCAAGCCAAGCUUUGUUGGCCGCACCUGCCAAGCCACAGGGUGCCUCAGGCUUGGAGCAUCCCGGAGCCAGUUACAACCUGAGACUUCAGCCUUCUGGAAGGUGUUGGGUCAGCCACCCUGAAGGACGAUCCUGCCCAAGUGACACGCUUUGCUCUUCCUUCUCACCCAAGACUUCACAUUCACCCUUGCAAUCCAUGCGGGGACACUGUUGGAUAGGAGGCGUGGUCCCAGAGUGGUCUCCCUGUCUGGGCCUCUGCGUAUGCCAAAUGUUUGCCUCACGCUG
rnacentral:lncRNA from 1 species